rnacentral:rRNA from 1 species
UACGGAGGAUGCAAGCGUUAUCCGGGAUUUAUUGGGUUUAAAGGGUGCGCAGGUGGUUUAAUAAGUCAGUGGUGAAAGUCUGUCGCUUAACGGUAGGAUUGCCAUUGAUACUGUUAGACUUGAAUAUGGGUGAGGUAAGUGGAAUGUGUAGUGUAGCGGUGAAAUGCACAGAUAUUACACAGAACACCGAUUGCGAAGGCAGCUUACUAAUCCAUUAUUGACGCUGAGGCACGAAAGCGUGGGGAUCAAACAGGAUUAGA